GCUGAGCUCAGUAGCGUGGGCUUGUAACUCAAGCGAGGGCAUACAAAGUGGUCGGACAGUCACUUGGCUCUCUUGGGUGGGUGGGUUGCGCUUGGUUCAAGGUGUCCUCUCCAAGCUAAGAGUUGGCUGUGCCCCUUUGACCGGAGGGUUGGGGUGGAUUGGUACUUAGAGUGGAGGAGAACGCGUGAGGCUGGUUUGACAGAGCAGCGAUUACCUCCCGCUCUUGGCAGUGGAAGGAUAACACGUUGAUGUGUGAUCUGCCCAAAUCCAAACCCUAGAGCUCCAAACUCACAUGGACAACCGCUUUU
rnacentral:SRP_RNA from 1 species